CCAGCAAAAGGAAAGGGGAUUCAUUAAUUUGGAAAUUAGAUCGAAAUUCCAAGCAAUUUGCCAAUAUGUAUCUGUUAAAAGAAUGGGUUAGAAGAGAAAAAUAUAUAAAAAGGCUCCAAUUCUAAAGCUCAGGAAAAAAAGGACUACCUGAAAGUGAAAGCCAAGAGAGGAAGACUAAUGACAGCGUUUAAUUUGCCUGAUAAGAGAAGAAUUAUGCGACUGAAAGGGAUUGUCCCAGCUAGCUGUUUCGGGCCCUGAAACGAGCUCACCUCCCCAUCGACUCUUCCCGCCAAAACCGCUGAGACCGCCGUGUCAAGUGGCGGUUUCAGACUCAGACACGGGCGCACCUCCCAACCAACACGACACCCACCGACACUUCCUGCCAAAACCCCCUUCUUCUACUGCUGCAACCGCCGAGUAAGAUGGCGGUUUCAGACCCCGACACGGGCGCACCUGCCAACCACCACAAACACCCAUCGACUCUUCCCGCAAAACCCAACACUCCCCUCAAUGUAAACCAAAAGACCCAAAUGCCAUCUUCAUUUAUUUUUCAUCGAAAUUUUAGUUUCUUAUUAAAAAGAAGAAGAAAAAAAAUGAUAUAAUAUUUAUCAACAAUUUUGGGUUCUUUUUCUGGUAAGUCAUUUUAUUUUAGUUUAAAAUUUUUUUAC
rnacentral:lncRNA from 1 species